rnacentral:rRNA from 1 species
AACGAACGCUGGCGGCAGGCCUAACACAUGCAAGUCGAGCGAAGCCUUCGGGCUUAGCGGCGGACGGGUGAGUAACGCGUGGGAACGUGCCCUUUGGUACGGAAUAGCCCCGGGAAACUGGGAGUAAUACCGUAUGUGGUCGAGAGACGAAAGAUUUAUCGCCAAAGGAUCGGCCCGCGUUGGAUUAGGUAGGUGGUGGGGUAAUGGCCUACCAAGCCGGCGAUCCAUAGCUGGUUUGAGAGGAUGAUCAGCCACACUGGGACUGAGAGACGGCCCAGACUCCUACGGGAGGCAGCAGUGGGGAAUCUUAGACAAUGGGGGAAACCCUGAUCUAGCCAUGCCGCGUGAUCGAUGAAGGCCUUAGGGUUGUAAAGAUCUUUCAGUGGGGAAGAUAAUGACUGUACCCACAGAAGAAGCCCCGGCUAACUCCGUGCCAGCCGCCGCCGUAACAC